GCCAGGCGUGGUGGUGCAUGCCUGUAAUCCCAAAACUUGGGAGACUGAGGCAGGAGGAUCAUAAGUUCGAGGCCAGCCUUGGCAACUUAGUGAGACACUAUCUCAA
rnacentral:sRNA from 1 species